rnacentral:rRNA from 1 species
UACGUAGGUGGCGAGCGUUGUCCGGAUUUACUGGGCGUAAAGAGCGCGCAGGCGGUCGAAUAAGUCGCGUGUGAAAGACCCCGGCUCAACUGGGGAGGGUCGUGCGAUACGGGCGAACUGGAGGCCAGUAGGGGGAUGCGGAAUUCCGGGUGUAGUGGUGGAAUGCGUAGAGAUCCGGAGGAACACCAGCGGCGAAGGCGGCAUCCUGGACUGGUCCUGACACUCAGGAGCGAAAGCGUGGGGAGCGAUCCGG